rnacentral:rRNA from 1 species
GAUGAACGCUGCCAGAAUGCUUAACACAUGCAAGUCAAUUUGAACUUCGGUUUGGGUGGCGGACGGGUGAGUAACGCGUAAAGAACUUGCCUCACAGAUAGGGACAACAUUUGGAAACGAAUGCUAAUACCUGAUAUUAUGAUUUUAGGGCAUCCUAGGAUUAUGAAAGCUAUAUGCGCUGUGAGAGAGCUUUGCGUCCCAUUAGCUAGUUGGAGAGGUAACGGCUCACCAAGGCGAUGAUGGGUAGCCGGCCUGAGAGGGUGAUCGGCCACAAGGGGACUGAGACACGGCCCUUACUCCUACGGGAGGCAGCAGUGGGGAAUAUUGGACAAUGGACCAAGAGUCUGAUCCAGCAAUUCUGUGUGCACGAUGAAGUUUUUCGGAAUGUAAAGUGCUUUCAGUUGGGAAGAAAAAAAUGACGGUACCAACAGAAGAAGUGACGGCUAAAUACGUG